rnacentral:rRNA from 1 species
CCAACAGGGAUUGCCUUAGUAACGGCGAGUGAAGCGGCAAAAGCUCAAAUUUGAAAUCUGGCACCUUCGGUGUCCGAGUUGUAAUUUGAAGAAGGUAACUUUGGAGUUGGCUCUUGUCUAUGUUCCUUGGAACAGGACGUCACAGAGGGUGAGAAUCCCGUGCGAUGAGAUGCCCAAUUCUAUGUAAAGUGCUUUCGAAGAGUCGAGUUGUUUGGGAAUGCAGCUCUAAGUGGGUGGUAAAUUCCAUCUAAAGCUAAAUAUUGGCGAGAGACCGAUAGCGAACAAGUACAGUGAUGGAAAGAUGAAAAGAACUUUGAAAAGAGAGUGAAAAAGUACGUGAAAUUGUUGAAAGGGAAGGGCUUGAGAUCAGACUUGGUAUUUUGCGAUCCUUUCCUUCUUGGUUGGGUUCCUCGCAGCUUACUGGGCCAGCAUCGGUUUGGAUGGUAGGAUAAUGACUAAGGAAUGUGGCUCUACUUCGGUGGAGUGUUAUAGCCUUGGUUGAUACUGCCUGUCUAGACCGAGGACUGCGUCUUUUGACUAGGAUGUUGGCAUAAUGAUCUUAAGCCACCC